rnacentral:lncRNA from 1 species
CGCCUUGCCUCACCGCCGCCGGACAGACCUGCCGCCGGCGACCUCCUUCUACAGCCGCCGCUCCAUGGAAGCCCCCACCCCCAAACCCCCAAACACUAACCUGCCAUAGGUCGCCGGAGACUUUCCGUGGUGGAGGAAGAUGGCCGGAGCCUCGCCGUGGCCGAGGAAGAUGUGGCUGGAGGGUCCAAUUGCGUGGUGUGGCAGCAGCAGCAAAAAU